CAGUCGCCGCGGGAAUACGUAGGGUGCAAGCGUUAAUCGGAAUUACUGGGCGUAAAGCGUGCGCAGGCGGUUUGUUAAGACAGAUGUGAAAUCCCCGGGCUCAACCUGGGAACUGCAUUUGUGACUGGCAGGCUAGAGUAUGGCAGAGGGGGGUGGAAUUCCGCGUGUAGCAGUGAAAUGCGUAGAUAUGCGGAGGAACACCGAUGGCGAAGGCAGCCCCCUGGGCCAAUACUGACGCUCAUGCACGAAAGCGUGGGGAGCAAACAGGAUUAGAUACCCGUGUAGUCCCUGUCUCUUAUAC
rnacentral:rRNA from 1 species